GACGAACGCUGGCGGCGUGCCUAAUACAUGCAAGUAGAACGCAGUUGCGAACGGGUGAGUAACGCGUAUGUAACUUCCUCAUAGCGGGGGAUUACCAUUUGAAACGAUAGCUAAUACCGCAUACUGUGAGAUGGACCUGCGUUGGAUUAGCUAGUUGGUGAGGUAAAGGUUCACCAAGGCGACGAUACAUAGCCGACCUGGGAGGGUGAUCGGCCAAACUGGGACUGGGACACGGCCCAGACUCCUACGGGAGGCAGCAGUAGGGAAUCUUCGGAAAUGGACGGAAGUCUGACCAAGCAACGGCGCGGUGGUGGAGAAGGUUUUCGGAUCGUAAAGCUCUGUUGUUAGAGAAGCGGUACCUAACCAGAAAGGAACGGCUAACUACGUGCCAGCAGCCGCGGUAAUUC
rnacentral:rRNA from 1 species